GAUUCCUGUGGACUACUUUUCUCAUGAGAAGGAUUUUGGUCUUUAUAUAUUGGACUGCCAGAUGUCUCAAAUCCCUCUGGAAAUGAACUUCGAUCACGUGGAUAUUGAGAUUCAUGUCAAAUAUCUUUUGGGUAUUCCUAUUGACAUAAAAGAAUGGGGUAUAAGAAUCACAGAGGAGGACUGUUCAUCGGCGGACAACCGACUUGGUAAUCCAAACACUUUAGCACAUGUUUUUGAAGGCAAUAUGACUAAUGAAGCUCGAGAAAGUCAAGAAUCUGAAGGCGAAGAUGAAGUAACAGAACCAAGCAGUAAACGAAUGCGGAUUUCGUGAAAUAAAAACUUAGAAUAGGGAGACAAGAAAACGAAUACGGAAAGCUGGAGGAAGCCAAAUGGUAUUGAUUACCGAGUAAUUAAAUUUCUACUCUCAACUUUCUCCUCUAUUUCUCUCGUUGUGCCUUUCCUUGUUGGCAGACGAUUUUUGGCAGCAGCUUUUGAAGACUUUGAGUCAGAUUCAGAGUAAUAACCACA